UACGUAUAAGAGGUCCCGCCUGCCCUGUGACUAUGUGUUUAACGGCCGCGGUAUUUUGACCGUGCAAAGGUAGCGCAAUCACUUGUCUUUUAAAUAAAGACCUGUAUGAAUGGCAUAACGAGGGCUUAACUGUCUCCUUUACCUAGUCAAUGAAAUUGAUCUCCCCGUGCAGAAGCGGGGAUAUUAAUAUAAGACGAGAAGACCCUGUGGAGCUUGAGACAAUAGACGGAUUUUAUGUAGUGACCCUAAAAAGGGCAUAAACAAGUUUAUACUCCCUCCAAUGUCUUCGGUUGGGGCGACCGCGGAGUAAAGAGCAACCUCCAUGAGGACUAAGGUGUAACCUUAAAUCCCAGAACGACAGUUCAAAGAAGCAAAAUUUUUGACCUAAGGAUCCGGCACAGCCGAUCAACGAACCGAGUUACCCCAGGGAUAACAGCGCAAUCCCCUUCAAGAGUCCCUAUCGACAAGGGGGUUUACGACCUCGAUGUUGGAUCAGGGUAUCCUAAUGGUGUAGCCGCUAUUAAGGGUUCGUUUGUUCAACGAUUAAAACCCU
rnacentral:rRNA from 1 species